ACAGGCGGUUGUCUGUUCGAUGGACGUGUUUAUGGACCUGGCCAGGACAUUAUUAUCCAGAAAUGCGAGGCAAAACUCACAUGCCUCGGCAACAACAACAUUGGCAACGAAGUUCAACUUUUUGGAGAUUGUAGCAGCCUAGGACAACAAAAGCGAACGGUUGAUGGACAAAGUGGUUGUCUGUUUGACGGGAGGGUGUACGCGCCGGGACAAGUUAUUGCGGAGACCGGAGUACACCUUCGAUGUUUAGGACAUAAUCUAUACUCGUCCACUUUAUAACACGUAUCCAAACCCUCUCCGAUCUCCUUCAGCACACGAGUACGGAACCCUCAUCUUAUUCUGUAUAUCUUUAUCUAUAUACAAAUUAUUUUCAUAAGAUGAAGAUGGUGUAUUUAUCAUUUCAAUGUUCAAGUGCAUGGUAAAAGAGUCUAAGAUCAUGCUUUAAACUGCUACAUAUCGGCGGUUUAGGGAUAGAUUUUUACCAUACACGGUAAAUUGUGUAAUCUACUAGUUUUAAACUUUAAUUAAGUUGUGAUGAAUGAAUUCGAAGCACGUAUUUCCAAAAUAAACAAGUACUAAUUAUUAUGGGGACCAUUACAGAAGUCCCUCAAAGGACCCCUUUACUACGAAAUGAGUGCUGAAACCGGAACAUGGACGUUACGGUUGUAUUCGUGGUGUAAUAAAGUACCUAUAUACUAAAUUUCAUGAAAAUCGGACGAUAUUUAAAUUUGGACCAAUCAGAGGCCAGGAAAUGGCGGCCAUUUUGUUGAAAUGGACGUAACAGUUGUAUUUGUGGUGUCAUAGUACCUAUAUACCAAUUUUCAUGAAAAUCGGACAACAUUUAAAUUUUGACCUAUUUGUUGCCUCCCC